AGCGCAGGCGGUUGGAAUAGUCUGAUGUGAAAGCCCACGGCUUAACCGUGGAAGGUCAUUGGAAACUGUCCAACUUGAAUACAGAAGAGGUAAGUGGAAUUCCAAGUGUAGCGGUGAAAUGCCGUAGAUAUUUGGAGGAACACCAGUGGCGAAGGCGACUUACUGGUCUGUAAUUGACGCUGAGGCUCGAAAGCGUGGGUAGCAAACA
rnacentral:rRNA from 1 species